GAAAAACCCAGCGAUGGAUGUUUCAGAUCUCUGCAGAGAGGAAGACUCUUCUGUUGAGUCCAGUCUGUGUCAGAAUGAAUCUCCUGAACCCAGCUGUGUGUCCAUCAAGAGUGACCGGUCAAUGGGUCAACCAAUUCAUUCAGCUCUGGAGACACAUCUGCUGAUCUGAGUCAAAAACAUAAAGGACGAGAAUCACAUACAGCAAAGAAGAAAUUAGACUCCAUUUUCAAGGAGCUUGAGCACAAAAUCAUCUCUGAGUUAAAAAGCUUUAAGAGACUACUGAGUCCAGAUUACCCAGAAUGCUCUGAAAGAGACCGUUCUGAUGAUGAGGGUCAUAACAGAGUCAGAGAGGGUCUUCUGAAGAUCACACUGCUCCUCCUGAGGAAGAUGAACCAGACAGACCUCGCUGACACACUACAGACCAAACUGAUGCCUGUGUAUCAACAAAAACUCAGAUCCAGACUACAGGAUAAAUAUGAGAGACUCAGUGAAGGACUGUCCA